GAUGAACGCUAGCUACAGGCUUAACACAUGCAAGUCGAGGGACCGGCGCACGGGUGAGUAACGCGUAUCCAACCUACCCAAUACUCAGGCAUACCCCGUUGCAAGACGGACUAAUUCCUGAUGGUACUGGAUGGGGCUGCGUCUGAUUAGUUUGUUGGUGAUGUUGCGGCUCACCAAGACUUCGAUCAGUUGGGGUUCUGAGUGGCAGGUCCCCCAUAUUGGAACUGGGACACGGUCCAAACUCCUACGCGAGGCAGGAGUGAGUAGUAUUGGGCAAUGGAUGCAAAUCUGAACCAGCCAAGUAGCGUGCAGGAUGACGGCCUAUGGGUUGUAAACUGCUUUUAUGUGAGACUAUGUAUCACAUGAAUAAGGACCGGCUAAGUCCGUGCCAGCAGCCGCGGUAAUUC
rnacentral:rRNA from 1 species